CGGGAGGCAGCAGUGGGACUCCUACGGGAGGCAGCAGUGGGACUCCUACGGGACGCAGCAGUGGGACAGUUGGCUCAGAACGAACGCUGGCGGCUGGCUCAGAACGAACGCUGGCGGCUGGCUCAGAACGAACGCUGGCUCAGAACGAACGCUGGCGGCAGGCCUAACACAUGCAAGUCGAACGGUAACAGGAAACAGCUUGCUGUUUCGCUGACGAGCGGCGAACGGGUGAGUAAUGCUUCGGAAUCUGCCCAAUGGUGGGGAAUAACCAGCCGAAAGGUUGGCUAAUACCGCAUACGUCCUACGGGAGAAAGCAGGGGAUCGCAAGACCUUGCGCCGAUGGAUGAGCCGAAGUCGGAUUAGCUAGUUGGUAGGGUAACGGCCUACCAAGGCGACAAUCCGUAGCUGGUCUGAGAGGACGACCAGCCACACUGGGACUGAGACACGGCCCAGACUCCUACGGGAGGCAGCAGUG
rnacentral:sRNA from 1 species